AGUGAACGCUGGCGGUAGGCCUAACACAUGCAAGUCGAACGGCAGCACAGUAAGAGCUUGCUCUUACGGGUGGCGAGUGGCGGACGGGUGAGGAAUACAUCGGAAUCUACUUUUUCGUGGGGGAUAACGUAGGGAAACUUACGCUAAUACCGCAUACGACCUACGGGUGAAAGCAGGGGAUCUUCGGACCUUGCGCGGUUGAAUGAGCCGAUGUCGUAUUAGCUGGUUGGCGGGGUAAAGGCCAACCAAGGCGAGGAUCCGGUGCUGGUGGGAGAGGAUGGUAGGCGACAUGGGAACUGAGACACGGUCCAGACCCCUACGGGAGGCAGCAGUGGGGAAUAUUGGACAAUGGGCGCAAGCCUGGUCCAGCCAUACCGCGUGGGUGAAGAAGGCCUUCGGGUUGUAAAGCCCUUUUGUUGGGAAAGAAAAGCAGCAGGUUAAUACCCCGCUGUUCUGACGGUACCCAAAGAAUAAGCACCGGCUAACUUCGUG
rnacentral:rRNA from 1 species